AAGAGACAGCUUGGUCACAGUGCGUGCGCAGAUCGAGCGUGAUGUGCCGGUCGGUUUCGAUCUGCAUGACGAUCGAGCAACGAUCGACGAGCCAUUGAGCGCAACAGUCGGUGCUUUGUACGAUCGAUUCGACGCACUAGCGAUCAAGGCGCGCCUGGGCAAGUUGGAUGAGGCGCGGGUCUGGCGGCAGAUCGGAACGCUCGGCGGCGGAAACCAUUUCAUCGAGUUGU
rnacentral:misc_RNA from 1 species